rnacentral:rRNA from 1 species
UUAUGACAAAAGUUUACUACUCUAAUUUAUUUAAUUAGUGAUAGAAGGCUGGGCCCUUUGGUCAACAAUAGUUGUAGGGUAACAGCCCAAAGGCUUUGUCUCCAAAGCAGCCUACACAUAUGGUGGUGUCACAAAAUCGGAGGCCACGACUGUUUACUAAAAACACAAUUCAGAGCAAUGAUGAAAAUCAUAGUAUUCUGGAUGAAAUUUGCCCGAUGCCAUUAACAUAAAAGAGGUAAUAGGUAACUGUUACUAAUUGAAAGUCUGGUUAAUAGCGGUCUUAACUAUGAGGAUCCUAAGGUAGCAAAAUCAGUUGGCCAUUAAAUGUGGUCUGGUAUCAAUAGUGUAACGAUGGUCUCACUGUCUCUACAACUUGCUCAGUGAAAUUGAAUUAUCCGUGCAGAUGCGGA